rnacentral:rRNA from 1 species
UACGGGGGGGGUAAGCGUUGUUCGGAAUUACUGGGCGUAAAGGGCUCGUAGGCGGCCAACUAAGUCAGACGUGAAAUCCCCUCGCUCAACGAGGGAACUGCGUCGGAUACUGGCAGACUUGAGUACCGGAGAGGAAGGUGGAAUUCCCGGUGUAGCGGUGAAAUGCGUAGAUAUCAGGAGGAACACCGGUGGCGAAGGCGGGUCUCUGGGCAACAACUGACGCUGAGGAGCGAAAGCGUGGGGAGCGAACAGG